rnacentral:lncRNA from 1 species
GUUCUGAUUUUCAAACGGAUCAUAUUCUUAAUUCAAUGUUCUACCUAUCAUAGACUUUGUUUUAGUGGAACGUUGUUUUGUUGUUGUGGCCUCGGCCGCGUACAUCUCGGCCCAAAGUGUAUCGUCGUCAAACACAACUAGGCAGACACGGACCUUGGCAAUGUAGCCCAAGCAUCAUGCCAUAUAUAUCCUUCUCUCUACUUACUCUCGUCCACCUCAGUCCAACCCUCCUCUAAUUAUUUAAAUUUCAGCUACCUCUUACACGCUCUCUAUGCCAUCUCCACCCUUUUAUCCAUAUAAAUUGCUCGCCUAGCCUCACUGCCUCCCCUCGAGUGCCCACCACUCCAUCUUUCAUUUUGCUAACUCAAUUGGCAACCCAUUCGUGAGGUCUAUUGGAAUAGGAGGCACCGGGACAUACACAUUAAUAUGGAAAUGGCAUACGCAUGGAGUUCGAGAGUGUAUGCAAGUGGCCAUGGUUCCUCAUGUUUGUGAGGGAGGUUCUUUAAGUGCAGGGGUGAGGAAGAUAGUCAUUACAUGGUGCACAUGCACGCAGAUCAACUGGGAGAUUCGUAGUGAUUAGGUAUCAAAAUUAUUACCUGUACCAGAUUCAGCCGUGAUGGGUGCACCAGGUUUGUAGAAGAUCAGCUACAAUCCUACAACAUAGUAACACGCUGCUUGUUUCUGCCACCAUCGGCCUACUUGUACAUGAGAUGGUGACGGUGGCUCAUGAGUUGGAUGUAGCCACAUGGAGGUGCGGAGUAACAGUAGCACCAUGAACUCCUGUUAACAUAGUGUAAUCCCUACUAUUGUUCAUUAGGUUCCAAAGUCUCUCCGGCAUGAUAUCUCACAACACUUCUGACAUAGUAUCGCUGUUAAUGUUUCGUAAUCAAUAAAGUGUCAUUUCCUCAAUAAAAAAAGGGAAACACUUUGCAUCAGGCGUCUGAUCCCACGCUCGUGUCAGACCACUUCCCUUCCGUUGGAUUUCAUGAAAGGAUCCAACGCAUUGCAGCUUCUCAGACACUCAACACGAUCAUCGUUCUCCCAAUAUUUGAUUCACUUAAGUNN